rnacentral:lncRNA from 1 species
CUGAACAAGCUGAGGAAAUCGGCUUCUUUUGGGUUCAGAAGCAAUGGCAGCAGUUAUGCAGCACAAGCAGCCUCUGUGCCAGCAGCUGCGGAUGAGCCAGAUGUGUCUUGGGUUCAGUCCCUGGUGAAGGAAGCCCCAUCAGCAAGACCUGGGCAAUUCGGUUAUGAGGAGCAGCAUCAAUAUCAUCUCAAUAGUGGAGGUUCUGAGAUACUCCCACCUUGGGUCGAGCAGUUGUGCGUGGAGCAGGAGCAGAUGGUGGCAUGAAAGCAAAUAUUAAUCCCCACAUCAGUUAAUUUAACUUUUUAACAAGCUUGUUUUCAUUUAUUAAUUUUUAUUGAUAUUCACCAUACGUAGUUGGAAGGAAAU